rnacentral:rRNA from 1 species
GGGAAUGCCUUAGUACGGCGAGUGAAGCGGCAAAAGCUCAAAUUUGAAAUCUGGUACCUUCGGUGCCCGAGUUGUAAUUUGGAGAGGGCAACUUUGGGGCCGUUCCUUGUCUAUGUUCCUUGGAACAGGACGUCAUAGAGGGUGAGAAUCCCGUGUGGCGAGGAGUGCGGUUCUUUGUAAAGUGCCUUCGAAGAGUCGAGUUGUUUGGGAAUGCAGCUCUAAGUGGGUGGUAAAUUCCAUCUAAAGCUAAAUAUUGGCGAGAGACCGAUAGCGAACAAGUACAGUGAUGGAAAGAUGAAAAGAACUUUGAAAAGAGAGUGAAAAAGUACGUGAAAUUGUUGAAAGGGAAGGGCAUUUGAUCAGACAUGGUGUUUUGUGCCCUCUGCUCCUUGUGGGUAGGGGAAUCUCGCAUUUCACUGGGCCAGCAUCAGUUUUGGUGGCAGGAUAAAUCCAUAGGAAUGUAGCUUGCCUCGGUAAGUAUUAUAGCCUGUGGGAAUACUGCCAGCUGGGACUGAGGACUGCGACGUAAGUCAAGGAUGCUGGCAUAAUGGUUAUAUGCCGCCCGUCUUGAAACACGGACCAAU